GUGGGGAAUAUUGGACAAUGGGCGAAAGCCUGAUCCAGCAAUGCCGCGUGUGUGAUGAAGGCCCUAGGGUUGUAAAGCACUUUCGCCGAUGACGAUGAUGACGGUAGUCGGAUAAGAAGCCCCGGCUAACUCCGUGCCAGCAGCCGCGGUAAUACGGAGGGGGCGAGCGUUGUUCGGAAUUACUGGGCGUAAAGGGCGCGUAGGCGGUGACGUUAGUCGGGCGUGAAAGCCCCGGGCUCAACCUGGGAUGUGCGUUCGAUACUGCGUUGCUUGAGAGCGGAAGAGGGUAGUGGAAUUCCCAGUGUAGAGGUGAAAUUCGUAGAUAUUGGGAAGAACACCAGUGGCGAAGGCGGCUACCUGGUCCGUUUCUGACGCUGAGGCGCGAAAGCGUGGGGAGCAAACAGGAUUAGAAACCCCAGUAGUCC
rnacentral:rRNA from 1 species